CCUGGGAGGCAGAGGUUACAGUGAGCCAAGAUUGUGCCACUGCACUCUAGCCUGGGCGACAGAGUGAGACUCCGUCUCAAAAAAAAAAAAAAAAGUCUCCAGACAUUGCCAUAUUCCAGUUGAGAAAUACUAAUAUAAGAGUAUCUGUCUAGGAUGUUUGUGAGGAGACUCUUGAAGUCGUUGUGUUUAGGUGUUUCAUAUUGAGAUAGUCAUAUUUUCCAGAAAAUAGCCCUGUCAUUUACCUUGCCUGAAGGAUAAAGUGCAGGAAGAGAGCAGGGAGCCCGAGUAGUCAAUACACAUACCUUCACUUAUUCUCCCUACUUUAAGUACUUCAUGCCCGCCCUCAACUGUGCCUGGUGUUCCUUCACCCAGAAACCAUCUUUUUUCCCCUCUCUGGAACCUAAACCUGUAGACAUUGGCCAAAGUGUGGGAGGAGCAAUCAACCAGUGAUAUAAAGUGGGGGAAAGGAGAAAUCCAGGAAUUCACCUGACUCUCAAACAACCUUCAUUCAACCAGUCUUCCUUAAUCCAACAUCCCAGUUCACGCCACUUCUAGAGAUCUCAUCAACUCUUGAGCAUUUUGACAAUUCUGGAGUGCAUAUUGAAUUUGUUCUUGUAUUUACUUAAUGUCCAUUUACAACUUGGUUUUUCAAGCCUGCCACCCUCCAAAAUUUGGCUCCUUUGAUAUCUUUUUUCACAUCGUUGUCCUUAGAGUUUAUGCUAGCCCCACACCCCCCAACAAGCAUUUUAUAUAGUUUUAGUGGGAACCCUUGGGAAGGAUAAAAAUUAAAUGUGUUUUGGCUGAGUGCUGUGGUUCACGCCUGUAAUCCCAACACUUUGGGAGGCUGAAGCAGGCAGAUCACUUUAGGUCAGGAGUUUGAGACCAGCCUGGCCAACAUGGCGAAACCCCAUCUCUAUUAAAAAUACAAAAUUAACGGAACAUGAUGUUUCACGCCUGUAGUCCCAGCUACUCGGGAGGCGGAGGCAAGAGAAUUGCUUGAACCUUGGAGACAAAGGUUACAGUGAGCUGAAAUCGUGCCACUGCACUCCAGCCUGAGCAACAGAAAGAGACUCUGUCUCAAAAAAAUAAAAAAAAAAAUACGCCAGGCACUGGCUCACGUGUGUAGUCCCAGCACUUUGGGAGGCUGAAGUGGGCAGAUCACUUGAGGUCAGGAGUUUGAAACAAGUGUGACCAACAUGGUGAAACCCCAUCUCUACUAAAAAUACAUAAAUUAGCCGGGUGUGGUGGCACACGCCUGUAAUCCCAGCUACUCAGGAGGCUGAGGCAGGAGAAUCACUUGAACCCAGGAGGCAGAGGUUUCAGUGAGCCGAGAUCACACCACUGCACUCCAGCCUGGGCAACAGAGUGAGAGUCUGUCUCAAAUAAAUAAAUUAAUUAAUUAAAUUAAAAUAAAGGGUGUAGGCAUGUAUCAGUUCUAUAAAAAAAAAAAAAAAAGUCUAUUUCAUUCUCUUUUUCCAGAAGUGUCAAUUUCAUAUGCUUUUGAGACUUUUGUCACAUUUCCAGUGGUUGCCAGACAUUGACUGUUACUUUGGAUUGUAGGUUGUCAGGUGGAAGGUGAUAGAUAUAACCUUCCUUCAUUUUCUUCCCAUCCUUCCUAAUGUGUGGCCUAUAGAUAAUAUUACAAUUAGACUUUGACACAGAAAGGAGAUACUCUAAUUAGUAGAAGAAGUAGUGGGGACAAAAACAAGCAAAGGCAUGGAGGUGGGAAUAGAGAGUGAGAUAUAACAGAGGAUAUAGGACAUUAACCUGAUUGAAGUUGAAGUUCAUGUUGAAGGGUCAUGGGAGAUAUGAAUAUAAUAAAUAGAUUAGGUGGGACCAGAUUACGACACCUAAAAUACUGGAUCGAAUAACUCAGAUUGGAUCUGGGAAAUAAUAGGAAAGUACUGUGGACUUUUUUUGUUGUUGUUUGUUUUUUUAGAUGGAGUCUUGCUCUGUUGCCAGGCUGGAGCGCAGUGGCAUGAUCUCAGCUCACUGCAACUUCCACCUCCUGGGUUCAAGCAAUUCUCCUGCCUCAGCCUCCUGAGUAUCUGGGACUACAGGUGCACGCCACCAGCUAAUUUUUGUAUUUUUAGAAGAGACGGAGUUUCACCAUGUUAGCCAGGAUAGUCUCAAUCUCGACCUCGUGAUCCACACACCUUGGCUUCCCAAAGUGCUGGGAUUACAGGCGUGAGCCACUGUGCCCAGCUGGACUUUUCAUCUGAGAAAUAAUCUGAUGAAAGUAGGUUUAAUCUAAUAGCUCUGACAACAGAUGGACAAGAAUAGGGAGAGAGUAGAGUCAAAGCAAUUUUAUAGGAGACUGUGGGUGAAAUCCAUAUAGGAGUGAUAAGGUACUAGGCCAUAGUGGACUAGGUGGGCAUGGAAAGGACAGAUCAAAAAGUCAUGGAUGGCAGGCGGAGUGUUUUGGGCCUAUAAUCCCAGCACUUUGGGAGGCUGAGGCAGGAGGAUUGCUUGAGCCCAGGAGUUUGAGGCCAGCCUGGGCUACACAGGGAGACUCCAUUUAUACAAAAAAUUAAAAAAUUAGCCCAGCAUGGUGGCACGCUCCUGUGUUCCCAGCUACCCAGGAGGCUGAGGUGAGAGGAUUGCUUGAGCACAGGAGGUUAAGGCUGCAGUGAGCCAUGAUUGCACUGUUGCACUCCAGCCUGGGUGACAGUGCACAACCCUGUCUCAAGGAAAAAAAAGAAAAAGAAAAAGUCAUUGAUAGCCAGGCCUGGUGGCUCAUGCCUGCAAUUCCAGCACUUUAGGAAGCCAAGGUAGGAGGAUCACUUGAGCCCAAGAAUUCAAGACCAGCCUGGGCAACAUAGUGAAACCUAAUCUUUGUUUGUUUGUUUGUUUGUUUUAAAGGCAUUGACAGGGAAAUUUUUAUUGGAUUUGUUACCUCCAGCCAAUAUAGAAGUUAAAUAGAUGUCAGCCAAGCCUAUGGAAGCUUGUGUUGGAUGACAAAUCUAAACAUGAAAUAAAAUGUUUCAUGGCUUGUUUCUGUGGCAACUAACGAAUGUUAGAUGUGGCAAGAAUUGUGCCCAGUAGAGCAUCACAUGAUUCUGGAGUGCAUAUUGGAAAGUCAGUUAUUCAUUAGAGAGGCCCACUCAAGGCAACUCAAGAAAAGGGAAAGAGAAGCUUUUGUAAAUCCGCAGAGCGAUCUUUCUGGAAUGUAAGGAUUCCUGAAUAGGAACAACUGGCCUUCUUCAAUUGUAGAACUGGAAACUAUCAGGGGAACCAGCCCCCAGUGUUUCAGUAUAGGUUCUUUUCUAUUUUCCCUAAGUGUCAGCCAGUGUGAGAAAUAAAGAGAAAGAGUACAAAGAGAGAAAUUUUACAGCUGGGCCUCCGGGAGUGCCAUCACAUAUUGGUAGGACCGUGAUGGUGACCUUGAGCCGCAAAACCAGCAAGUUUUUAUUAGGGGUUUUAGAAGGGGAGAGAGUGUACGAAUAGGGAGUGUGUCACAGAGAUCACAUGCUUCAAAAGGUAAUAAAAGAUCACAAGGCAAAUGGCAGAGCAAGAUCACAAGGACAGGGCAAAAUUAGAAUUACUGAUGAGGUUCCAUGUCCUGCUGGGCAUGCAUUGUCAUUGAUAAACAUCUUAACAGGAAACAGGGUUCAAGAGCAGACAGCCAGUCUGACUAGAAUUCGCCAGGCUGGAAUUUCCUAAUCCUAGCAAGCCUGAGGGCACUGCAGGAGACCAGGGUGUAUUUCAUCCCUUAUCUUCAACUGCAUAAGACAGACACUCCCAGAGCGGCUAUUUUAGAGACCUCCCCCUGGGAAUGCAUUCCUUUCCCAGGGUUAUUCCUUGCUGGGAAAAGAAUUCAGUGAUAUUUCUCCUAUUGGCUUUCUGCAGGAAGAGAAAUAUGACUCUGUUCUGCCCGGCCUCACAGGCAGUCAGACCUUAUGGUUAUCUCCCUUGUUCCCUGAAAAUCACUGUUAUCCUGUUCUUUUUUAGGAUGCCCAGAUUUCAUAUUAUUCAAACAUAUGUGUUUUACAAACAAUUUGUGCAGUUAAUGCAAUCAUCACAGGGUCCUGAGGCGACAUACAUCCUCAGCUUACAAAGAUGAUGGGAUUAAGAGAUUAAAGUAAAGACAGGCAUAGGAAAUUAUAAGAGUAUUGAUUGGGGAAGUGAUAAAUGUCCAUGAAAUCUUCACAGUUUAUGUUCAGAGAUUGCAGUAAAGACAGGCAUAAGAAAUUAUAAAAGUAUUAAUUUGGGGAACUAAUAAAUGUCCAUGAAAUCUUCACAAUUUAUGUUCUGCUGUGGCUUCAGCUGGUCCCUCUGUUCGGGGUCCCUGACUUCCCGCAACAGGAAACACUUUCAUAAUAUUGCUUGUGCUUUUUCAUUGAACACAUCUUGUACAAGGCCCCCUAGAGGCUCUUCCAGGCCUUGAGGCCACAUGACCCUUCUGGCUGCCUCUCUGCCUGCAUUUUCCCUCUUGCUUUCAGUUCAGAUGACUGAAAGAGAACUAGGGCCCAGCUCCACUUUUCAAGACAGGGUGCAAGUUACACAUAACUGAGUGGCCAACUACGGCAGGGGAUAGGUUGUGGGGAUGGUGGGGUGGGGGGCUUACAAAGCAAUGUUUAUUCAGCAGGGACCAUGCAUAUGGCAGGAAAAUGUACCUACCCAGCCCCAAAUGAAACAUUUGCUUAGUUAGAAAGGAAACUGGAACUUUUUGGUGUACAACCUUAACUUUUGAAAUUGGUAUCAGGUACAGAAUCCCCAUGUUACCUCACAAAGCCACAGUCCAGGUGAAAGUGUGAAAAGACUAUGGGAUUGGCUUACUGUGGUUAUUCCUGUGGUUUAUACCUCAAACUAACAAUUCUCCCUGAAUCCCACAUCAAGUCUGCUGCCUGCUGAGUCAUCUGGCCUCUUUGACAGCACCCAUCAGUCUUUAUACAGGCUUCCUUAUAUAAUAUUUAUAAAGAAAGGGGCUGGGCACGGUGGCUCACGCCUGUAAUCCCAGCACUCUGGGAGGCCAAGGUGGGUGGAUCACGAGGUCAGGAGAUUGAGACCAUCCUGGGUAACACGGUGAAACCCCGUCUCUACUAAAAAUACAAAAAAAUUAGCAGGGUGUGGUGGCGGGCGCCUGUAGUCCCAGCUACUCAGGAGGCUGAGGCAGGAGAAUGGCGUGGACACAGGAGGCAGAGCUUGCAGUGAGCCGAGAUUGCGCCACUGCACUCCAGCCUGGGAGACAGAGCAAGACUCUGUCUCAAAAAAAAAAAAAAAAAAAAAGAAAGGGUGCAAUUUGCAGGCCAGUGGACUAAUGCACCCUCACCAUAUAGCCCCACAGAAAUCGGUCUGCCAUGGAGCUCUAAAGAACUCAUAAUUUCUCCAAAAGGACCAUCUUUCUACACCUAUGCGAUUGUUCAAGAUCAAGGGUCAGCAAACUGUGGUCCACAGGCCAGUUGCAUAUUUAUGCACAUAAAGUUUUAUUGGAACAUAGCCAUAGCCAUUUAUUCACAUAGUGUGUAUGGCUGCUUUUGUGUACAAUGGCAGAGUUGCAAAGCCUAAAAUAUUUACUGCUUGGCCCUUCAAGAAAAAGUUUCCUGACCCCUGUUUUAGUUAGUUCUGGAAUGAUGAGCAUGUGUGGAAAAUCCUCGGGUUGAUGCAGAAGCUUAGUGGCUGCACAGUAGUGAUACAUUGUUUUCCCAGGCUAUUUUAUUGUUUCUUAAUUUCUUAAUCACUUUGUGGAUUAAAUUCAUGGCCAGAAGUAACUCAGACAUCUCUAAGGAUUGUCCUAUUGGCAUAAGCUAAAGCACGUAUUAUUCUACAUUCAUGGAUUAAAAUAUUAAGUAAUUUGAUCUAGAUGAUUGUUUACAGUUUAACGCAAAUGCACUUAGUCUGUUCUGAUUAUUUACUCAAGGAUUAUGUUACUACAUUCUCUCAAGAAUAAUAGUAUGUAAUCAUUUCCUGUGGGAUCUGCAAUGUUUGGGCCUUCCUUCAAAUUCAGUUCUCUGAUUUGUUUCCAUGACAUGGAGUUGGCCUUUAGGUUAUGUGAUUGAGGUUCCUCAAACAGGAUGUUAAUUUUCCACUCUUCGUGGCAGGAGAAAUAUAGUCUAAUCUCACGAUUUAGUGAGCCAAAGAGCUGUAUCUCUUUUCACACUAUCCUUCUUUUAUAAAAUAAAUGUUAAUUUUGUUUCUUUGUGCAUCUUUUGGAACAAACUUGUAUUUUCAAAGUGCUCACCCCAUACUCAGGUUAGCAUACUUUCUAAGGCAGCCCAUUUGGAACAAAUGAGCUUUAGCCAAGAGUUUAAUGAUAAAAAUAUAUUGCUUGCAAAAGCUCUAAUUUAGCACUCUGGUGCCUCCUACAUGGUUUUGCCAACAAACUCAUCUUUGCCUGAAAUAUAGGCUCUUCGAAGGCAGCUGCCACUCUCUCUUCAAGAUGCGAGAGGGAAGAGAGCUUGAGGCUUUUCAUUGUGAAGGACCCUCCACCCCCGUGUUCCUCCUACAGGCUCCUGAUUCACACAGCACAAGUUGAGAAACAGGGAAAUGGAAUCUUCUUGCCCAGGCAUGCAGCAGCUAACUCCUUUGAAUCAGAAAAAUGUGUGUUCAUAAUCACCAAGUUUGAAAUGCAGAGCCAUCACUGCUGCUGGAAAUCUGAGGCUGGUUCAGAGCCAGACCAGCUGCUCCUGGGGCCCUCUUCUACUUAAGAGGCAGUCUAGUCUGUGGCCUCGCCUGUUCAAGGUUGCUUUUUCCCCAGAGCCCUGGUACUCCCUCUGUCAAGUUUCCACUUAUCUUUCUGGCCUAUCCAGGAACCCUUCUCUGAGUUCUCAAGGACUGGCUAGGUGUCCUGCCUCACAGUCACCUACAACCUGCAUUUUCCUCAUCAUAACUUUGAAAUUGCUACUUUGCCUAUCUUCGCAUGGGCUUUUCCUCCAACUACACUGUGAGAGCCUUAAAUCCAGAAACCAUGUCUUUUUUUUUUUUCAAAGAGACUGUUAGAUGAAUUUGCCAGGACUAAAAUACAGAGUUCCUUGUUCCCUGUAUAUAGCCCACUAUAGAAAUUCAAUGGUUUUUGAAUGAAAGGAUAAAUGAGUGAAUGAAGGGACUUCGGAUCUGGCUGGGGCAGAGACUGUGGAGCUAGAAACUUAGGUUGCUUUCCCUUUCUUCCCUUCCCAUCCCUCCUCUUCCAAAACCCAAGUCUGACAGGCUGCGAAGCACCUCUAUAUACGACUGAUGGAGCUUUAAUUGUUCACCGAAUCUUUAGAAAAGAUCCUUUUAAUUCAGCACUGUGCCCGAAGUCCAGGCACUUAGCUCUGGAUGCCCGACUGCAGAAAAUACCAACAGCCAGUAGAAAAACUGCACCAAUGCUGGGGGUCCUAUUUUAAUUAUUCUAGAAAAAUUCACUUUUUGCUCAGUCUUUGGUUUCAUUUGGGGCUGACCUCCUUUCUUGCAGGCCCUAGAUUCGUGAAAUCUGUAUUAAUCAGCAGAAUAAUAUUAGCCAAUUCCUUACCUCGUUUUUCCUUCCCCUCAUUUGGACAGCUAGCCUGGUUUGUACUCCUUAUCUCAGAGAUGAGAUGUGAUAAUAAGAGGCAGAUAAAUAAAAGUAUGUUCCUGGCUUUUGGAUUCAGAAGUUGCCCUUAUGGGAAGGAAAAAACAAACAAAUGUGGCAUAGAUAAAAUAUUUGGAAGAAAAGAUAACAAGAGUAGAAAAGAGUUUCUUAGGGGGAGGAAGUGAAUUCAUGGGAAGGUACAGAGGGCAGAGAUGUUUCUGGAUCCUGUGUGCUACUUCACCCUGGGAAGGUGACACAAUUGCAGAUGUUUUUGUGAGACUUGGGAGCAGAAAAGACAUGUUCUUUGCAUCCUCAGUGAAGCCCCAGAGAAGAAAUGGGUGCAUAAUGGGUCCCCACUGAAGAGAACAUAGGCAGAUGUGCAAAGUUUUCCAUGCCCCAGUGAGAAAGAAGCAUGUCUCUUCAUGCCCAAGAGCACAUCAGAGAAAUGGAGAGUGCUCCUGAAUCCGAAAGGGUCACACAGUCAAGAGUGAAGAAUGUCUCAAUAAAUACCAGUGUGGAAGAAUGAUCUUGAGGACCACAUCCUUCACUCUCUCUCCUUCCCCUCUCCCUUUCUGCACAUCUUGCAUCUCAGAAGCCCCCUCCCAGAAACUAGAUACAACUCCAGGGAAAGGUGAGGUCGAAAUCCACAAGUUCACUGAGAUAAAGUUUCUGACAAUGCAAAGAAAGGGAGGCUUGAAAUCAAAAUUAGUUUCUAUUUCUUACAUAAAUGUCUGGACUAGAAUUGUGUCCACUGCUCAGAUCUUACUUAUAUUCAGGGAUGACAUAUCUCAUGGAAGAACAGGGCUCAAUGAGCCACUUAAAUGUCUUCCUAACAAAUGUUAAGGUUCUAGAAACCAAAUGGUGGGUAUAUUAUCCAACAUAUGCCGUGAAAGCAGAGCCAAUCCUGGGGGAAAGCUUCUCUCCUAAUGGUAAGGUGUCCAUAUUCUCUGCCCCAAGAACCAAGAUAAGUGAUCUGAGAAGUGUGAAGACUGCUUUUCAACAUGAAAAAGAGUUUUCUUAAACUCAAGCAUGAUAUUAGCUCUACUUUGAAUAUCAGUUACGAAAAUUCAUAACGAGCUGAGGUAUCUUCACUAACGUUGCAAAUUAAUUUCUUGUAUUCAUCACAAUGACAUUUAUGUGUAUUUGAAAAGUAAUCCAUAUGGAUGAGCAUAUUUUUCAUUCACUCUACAGACGGAACAUGCACGCUGGUUUGCAGAUCCCUUGCAGUGACUCUACAGCUCCCAGGAAUCUGAGGUUCACAAGGUGAAACCUACCAGGCCGAACAAUUUAAAAUCGGUUUUGUUUUGAAAAUCCAAACACUGGAAGAUUCUCAAAUGCUAUAAACAAUACUCUUCUGAAACUCAUCCACCUCGUGGUAGCAGAAGCACACCAUGAGCACCAGCCAAUCUUCCUGAAAUUAUGUUACCAGAAAACGUACGUGGUGGAGAAUUUCCUUGGACUGGAUGUUUCUUGCUCACUUGAAUUUUAAGAGAAACUUUCCCAAGGGGUCCAGACAAGUGCUGUUUUGCUCUAAGUCUCUGUAUGCAGCAACAUUGGUUGUUUUCAUCAUACCUAUACCUGGUAAGCGGCAGCAUUGCUCUUCUGCAUGAUAUUAGUACUUUCCUACUGUGGUUGGACUUCUCCCCUUGCAACUCCUGCUUCUCCAUGAUGUGACGCAGGUUGAAUGAAGGAGCAUGGGGCUCUCCCAAUCAGAGACACCUGAGACUGGCCCCAAAUCACCUUGCCCAGGGAACAGAAGAAGCAGAUGCCUACGGUGUGGAGCAAUGCCCCACAUCUGCGCAAUUCCAAAUUCCAUGGCCACCCAGUCUUCAUUUCCUUUCCUGAAACUGCCUGUGAGCUCUAGUAAGAUGGAGACUCCAAACUUAGAAAGCAGAUGCCUGGGGAGGUACUCUGUGCAGAAACUGGACUCCCUGAGGUUCUGCCUCCUAGGGGUUUGGCCUGGAUUUUCUAGGACAACUCACUGCACUGGGGAAAAUGAGCUCAUCUGGUCACUGAUCAGACAGAUGUCAGUGACUGAUCAGGAGUGUCAAGGACAAUUCCCCAGAAAAUGGCUGCUGUUCCCUGUGGCUUUGGUGGCAGUGCCACACAGAUGGGUCAGUCUACCUGGUAGCCUUCUCAAAUCCACAGAAUGUAAACACCAAAAGAAGCCACAGUCCCUGGGACCUGCAUAGGAAAUGUCUCAGCAGGCAUCUGACCGGAUUAGAGUCAGCAGAGGAGAAUCUGUCAAAACAAAUCCUGUUUUGGAAAUGCAGGCCUAUUCUGGUAGGGUCCAUCCCAGGACCUAAGAGGGGAGGAAAAUUGGCUAAAAAGAGCAGGACUCACCCAAGAAGCUGUGAUGGAGGCACACCCAUGCUGCCCUGAUGGCUGGCUGGCACUGUAGAUGAGUUCCAGAUAGGUUACUGGCAAAGAAAAGAGCACUUCUUCCUGCUUUGCAUCGGCAACCUGUGCCUGGAUUAUGAGCUGCUGGAGCAAGGGUAGACUGGAAGGACACCAGGAGGUUUCUGCUGUCUGAUAACAUUCCUGGGGCUCAAGGAAUUCUUCCAUCCAGUCUCCUACUUCCAGGAGGCUUCCUCCCCUGGUUUCUCCCCAGGUACCAUGAUGGGCCUUUCCUUUGAUAUUGAGCAGCUAUUUCCACCCUGUCUUUGUCCAUGCCUCCAUCUUUGAGAGUUUGUUGUAUUCUUGGUUGACCCAGGUGAUCACAAUUGCCUGUUACUGACAAAUUAGAUUACCAUGCAAUAAGUACUCUAAGCAGAAGGUACAUAUGUUUGUUGUUACCAAGAAUGUCUAACUUAACUUUAAUCCAUAACAACUCGUGUUAGGGGAAAUGGCAUACCAGUUUUCCUUUUCAGAGAGUUUUCUUUAUCAUUGUUCAUUUUAUCUUUGUACCUCUUUGGACCACGUAGAGAUUAGUCAAAUUACCUGCAUUUGACAAACUAGAACAAUACAGCCCCAUAGUGACUUCUCUGAAGAAGCCCAGAGAAUUGGUGACAAAGCUGACAUCUGGUCUCCUGAUUUCCAUUCUGGGAUUCUUUCUACUGAUCUUUCUUAUUUCAUUUAUUCAAUGUACCAACUCAAAUGAAAACGUGCCUACUACAUGGCAUGGAAGAAACAGGCUUCUUGUCUUAUCUCGCAUAGUCUGCCCACGCAAACCAUCUGUCCAGCCAAACCAAAAUAGCACUGUGCUUCCAGCCUCUGCACCCUGGCUCCUGCCUUGUCGCUGGCUUGAACCACCCUCCCCCAACUCUCUGCUUAAUGAAACUUAAUCAUCCUUUAAUCCCAAGCUCAACUGUCCUGUCUUCUAUAUUGCCUUCCUGAUUAUUACAGCAGGAAGUAAUUUCUCUUGCUCGAAAUGCAGUUAAUUAAAAAAAUGGGCAAGUUUGGUGCCAUCAUACUCUGCCUUGGAUUAUAGUGUUUUGUUGGUGAAUUUUAUCUCCCCAAGUAAGCUGUGGGCCUGAAGAAGGCAGCAACUGUAUUUCACACAUCUUAGUAUUCCUCACAGUCUUGCGUAUGAUAUAAGCUAAAUAUUUAUUGAAUGAGUCAAUGAAAGUGAUUUUCAGUGUUGAGAGCUGAAUUCAGAACCCCAGAAUCUGAUCUCCAUGUUUCUUCUACCAAGUCGUUCUGAAAGCAAUGCGGUUUCUACUAUGAUUUGCCUCUUUGUAAGCCAAUCACGGUUGAAAAUAGGCUGUUUCAUAUGGUGCAGUCUAACCCAAUGCAUAUGGAACUGUUUGGACAGAAUUAAAUAGUUUAAAUGGC